CACAGGCAGGAAAUCAAAGACUUCUGGAAUGAAAACACGAUUUUUUUUUUCUUCUAUAAUUUUAAUGGUGGCUGAUCUGUAAUAUCAGUUGCUAGCUGGAUACCAAAUGUUUCCUCGGUUUUAUACUUUGUGAUUCUUUUUUAAUACUUUUGUUCAGUUAUUGUCUCUUAAUACAAUCAAACAGAAAGAAAUUCAAACAAACAUGACUGCUUCAAACUGGGGUUUGAUCAUGAACGUGUUCAACGGUAUCGUGGGAGUGAGUGUGCUGACCAUGCCCUUUUGCUUCAAGCAGCCUACCUUGCAUAUGGAAAAGCUGGAAAAAUGUUUGUGGAAAUGAGCAUGAUUGGGCAGAUGUUGGGCACCUGCAUUGCUUUCUAUGUCGUCAUUGCAGAAUUGGGCUUCAGGUGACCAGUGGAUUCCGUGUGGUCCUGCUCGUUGCAGUGUCCCUCUUCAUCGUCCUGCCACUGAGUCUGCAGAGAAACAUGAUGUUAAUCCAGUCCUUCUCUGCCACGGCCCUCAUGUUCUACACAUUCUUCAUGUUUGUAUGGUGCUGCCCUCCUUCAAACAUGGCCUCUUCAAUGGGCAGUGGAUGAAGCAGGUCAGUUGCGUGCGCUGGGAAGAUGUCUUUCGCUGCAUCCCUGUCUGUGGCAUGUCAGCCGUAAGUACACUCCAGUCUCCUGAGU